CACAGGUCGUGCUAAGCUAUUUCAUUUUGAAAAAGUAAAAAAAUGAAAGCAUGUUUUAUGAUAAACGCUCAUAAAUUCCAGUCAUGAUUGAUGGAAGAGGAGAUAAGUGAUCUGACCCUUGCAGUUAGUUCUGUUUCUGCGGUGAUUUUCUCUGAUGGCCCAUUGUCUCCAGAACCCCUUCGUGUCCCAGUUGCAUGUUACAGUAUAGGCAGAUGGCAGGGGACAAAGUUUCAUCAAGCAGAAAAUGAUACAAGAUCACGUCAUCUUAUCAUCCUGAGCCUCUGUGAACUGUUUCUGCAGCCCAGCCUUGCCAGCGCAGCUUGAGUGGAUAUCUCAAACUUUCCUUAUUAAAACCAAAACAGAGACUAUCCAGAUUGAGGUCUUCUGAAUCAGAAUGUGGUGCCCUCGGUUUUCCAGUGUCAACCCCUCAGUUUGAGCAAGGUGACUCCCACAGCAUGUAAUUAAACAGAAAACGGCCUCACUAAACACACUGCUGACCUGCUGAGUGGCUACACGCACUGGCAUCUGCGUUUGUCCCCACGACCGGGUUCCUUUUUGUUCAUUUUUCAAGGAACUCGCCACCCUGUCAAGGAAGCCAGCAACAAACAAGAAAAUGCUGUUUUUUGACAUCAAACUGGUCACAAGUUAGGAACUGUGCAUGAUCCAAUCUUGCAAACAAAAAGUUUGUAACAUAUCAAACAGCCUCAUUAUACACCUGCCAGAACACUGAGGUGCCAGUUAUCAGACAGCACCAAAGAGCAUGCUUUGAAGAUGAGGUUUUAGUAUUAUUUGGAGAGAAACGUAAGGAAAUCCCGCAAAAUGUCAAAGACAACUAAUCUGAAAAAGGAGAUUAUGUUCUUUCAAUUUUAUCAUCUUAUCUUUUAGCAUCUACGUGUGGCUUGUAGAAGAACUGGAACUGCAGUGCCUUGCACUGAUAAAAAUGUAUCUAGAUCAAAAUUUUAAAGUGUAAUGUGCAUUUGUAUACUGAUCCAAUGCUUCACCUAUUUUGCCUUAUGCAGUUCAAUUCAGUUUGUGUUUUACCAAUUCACAACAAAUUUAACCUCAACCCACUGUACAAUAAAACAAUCUAAGUUAGACAUGUACAGUAGAUAUAGACAAAUUAAAAUGUAAAAAUUAAUCCAUAUAAUUAAGCAACACACUCAAUCUUAGUUUAUUUAUCAAAUUGUUUAUAAAGUUUACUUACUAAGGAACCACAGCCGAUUGCAUUAAGCCACUGACUUUGGAGCAAUCACUCUUCCUCGAGCAAUCAGUCUUCCUGAACCAGCAUGUUGCAACAUUGGACAGUUGAUUGCAUUGAGUCGCUUGAGACCAUAAGACCUGGAAUGUUUUUUCUUUUUUUUUCUGUGGAUCUUUCAUUUAUCACGUUAUUGUGAAUAUUUGCUCUGAAGAGGUUCUUGAGACGGUGAGUAGAUAAGUCCCCCUACUCUCUGACUGAUAGCUAGUUCAUCAGCUGAGUAAGUGGGAGAUGCUCCCGUUGUGAAAAUAGCACUUGUGACUUUUAGCAUUAACCCCUUAACUGGCGGUAUCCCAUCCAUGGGACAAAUCUAGUUUCUUUGAAUACUAUGCCUUUUUCACUGCCAGUUAAGGUGUUAAAACAAUUUUCGCUCUUUUUUUUAACACAGUGAUUACCCUUUGUGAUCUAUAUAGAGUCUCUAUACAAAGUCCACAGAAAGGUGCAACAAUAAAUUUUGAAAAGAUUUACAUUGUGAUCACUAAUUAUUACUGCUUUACAUCAUGUUAUAGGGUUAUUCCCUUAUCAAAAACAUACCUGACACCUUACCUUACAGAGCAGCCCUCCCCUGCCACUCCGCCACUCAGCUCCUUCAGACUAGCCAGCAGCAUUUAGCCAACAUCUGGUGGAACUGCGCAUCUGCUGGGCUCAUUGUACGAGCUACUACUCAAUGCAACGCUGGUAAACACGUUGUUAGAGUUAAUAUGUUGUGAAGACUUGCUGAAGGUGGAGUUACAGAAAGAGCAGGAGAUACUAAAGAGACAGAGGCCCCAAAGCAUUAAAUUACAAAGUAAACUUUCCUUUAAGUCAUAUUUGAUAUUUAUAGAAUAUCAACUGAAGUUAACAUAGUUACUUGACUGUGCUAUAAAAUGGCAGUAUGUGUCUGGAAAACACACAAUGUAGCCCAAUUAUAAUUACAAUUCCCUCCCCAGAAGCUAUUUUUGCUUUAAAUUUCUAGCGUUAUAGCUGCAGGUCUUUUGGGUUUGCUUCUACCAGCUUGCCUCAUCUAGACUCUAAAUUUAUUUGCUCACUUUUCUCCUUCUCAAGAUAGCUCCUGCUCAGUCAAUCUCAACUGAACAUACAUCUGUACUUUGUGUGAUUCUAACAUAUGAAUCAAAUCACUAUAAAGGCUCGGCAACAAAAUACAUUAAAAUCUGUUGUCAUAUUAACAAUAUUGUGUUGUUUUUAUCAUGUACAACACUGAACCAUCUUGUAUCUGAGAUGUACACAUGAACAUGACUUAUGGCAAAUUGGGAAAAAGUUCAAGGGGUAGGAACACUUUUACAAGGCACUGCAAAUACACACUUCACAGUUUCACAAAGCACACAAGUUUGAGUUUGAAACAGGGAUGCAUUCUGUAUUCCCAUAACAGACAUCCUGUAGGGUAAUCGUUUUCUUCCGCCUGUGUUUUGCCAACUUGAGCUGCAGGUAUCAUCAAUACAGCCUAAAAAUGAUUUUAACAAGGCUCUUCAGCUCAUGCCCUACAAGUUCACAGUUUGAUGCUUUAAAUCGUACUUUUAUUUACAGAGAGGAAGGUAGGCAGAGUGAAACAGCAAGUGAUAAAGCUAUUUAGUGAGAUUUGACAUGUUUUGCAUUCAUUGACAGUGAUUUAACCUCUGCCAAAAUGUUCUUUGAAGUCGAGCAAGAAAUCGGAGGUGCUGAACAUGUCACAUGCUACGAGCUGAACAGAGCCAAUCUGAACCCAACAAAAAGCCUGACUGCAUGAGCUCAAAAUCAAAACACUUUCUCACUGAGCUACAAGUAAUGAAACCUUAUAUUUGUGUGGGUUUGAAAAUGAUUCUGUGCAUUGGUGUUUAACCACAGUCACCCGCAUGAAAUAGCCUGAGACCAUCUGCGAUUUAUGAUUCGCUCCCAGCCUCUGGCAAGCCAGGCUGAAUAAUUUACAUUGUGCUGAGGCCUACGUGCCCAGAAUGUCUGAUACCAAAAAUAGAGAAAGAAGGAGAGAGAAUGGGAUGGGGGUGGUGGUGGUGGGAGCUAAUGCACAUUCAAACGAGACACCACUAUGGUUGGAAUAUGGCACAAAGUGGACAUGUUGAGGGAAAUGGAGCAGGUGGCAUGCUGUGUGAUUGCCCUAACCUGCUGAGUCAUAUAGAAGUCCUCCUGUGAGCCUUACUAAUCAGUGAGGCUCUGCUGUGUCACCAAGACAUGACAAACACAACAUGCAGGACACUUUCCGCUUCCUCUCUCCUACCAGAAAGUGAUCUUUUGCACUCACUCUGCAAUCAGCUGGUGAUAGGGAUUGAUUUCUUUCCUUGCCGUUGUUAAAUUGUAUUCAUUCAGCUUUGAUCAAAGCCGAGAAUAAAAGUAUCAAUGAACAAAUGAAAAGAAGGAAGGAUUUGACAGGAAAUGAGCUUUGGGGAAAAAAUAAAACAGAAGGAAAAUGCUGUAUUAUAGAGUUUCUAGGUGUGCAGUACAGGUCAUAUUUACUGGCAGCUAUAACAGAUAUGUUAAAGCUGGAAACAGAAACCAAUGCAUUACUAAUUAAAUGUUACUAUGUCUUUUCUUAAGCAUUUUUUAUUUUGUAAUAUUGUUCCCACUGAAUAAAUGGACUCAAAUUAUUUGUUGGAUUAAAAAAAAUCUAUGUGACAGUAAAGAGAAGAAAAAUAACGUUAAAUUUAUUUCAAGACUUUGAUGCCAAUGCUGAUAAAAUGUGGCUGACACUGUG